CUUUUUGCUGUCAUUGACCAAUCUCUUUUUGUCUCGUUUGGGCAGAAGAUAACUUUCCCUCCUCCUACCCAGAGAGUGGAUUUCGAUUCUCCCAUCUCCCGAUAAUAAGAGCUCCAACAUCUUACAUAAACCUCACCGAUACAUGCUGAGGCAAUCCUUCUAUAGCUUUGAAGUCAGGAUAGGACUUUGGUGUUCUUCAUGCCUUUGUUGUCACAUUUAGAUCGAAGAGUUCUUUUUCUAAUCAUGUAUUCUUGAGGAUGUUUUCAAUGGUUCUUCGAUAUCCACCCAGUCCCUCAAAGCCCAAUGAAAUAUUGAAGGACUCUACUCGAUGCCUUCGUUUUUAAUAGCUGCCUUCAUUUUUUAUAGCUUAAAUCUGUCGUCGCCCUUAUUUUUUAUGCCUCAAAUCUGUCGACAUGUACUUUGAACGUUCCCUGCCUCCCCCUAGGUUUGCUUUCUUAGUGUUAGAUGUUAAGAUAAACGCCUUCAUUUGGUUGUUGCAUGAGCAUCGACAACAUUUUUCUUCUCCAGCGAGAUUUGGAUCCAGCGACACUUUUACAACUCCUCAGAUUGUUUGUUAUUGAAUCGAGUCCUACCCGAUUCUUGCUUGCUAGGGUUUCUAGAGGUUUCUUUAUGUUGUGCAGGCUGGACUUGCUAGCCUUUGAGCUUUUUUAUUUGUUUUUGGAUGUGUCUAUCCUUCAUUUGGAUGUGUUUGUAAUCUUGGACUUUGACUCUCUUAACAAAUUAAUCUUUUAUCUUUGAAAAUAAAAAUUUAUCAACCAUA